rfam:Phanerochaete carnosa HHB-10118-sp unplaced genomic scaffold PHACAscaffold_5, whole genome shotgun sequence.
GGGCACUUGGCACAGUGGUAGCGCGCACGCUUUGCAUCUUGCAGUUGCUAUGCGAUUGCGUGAGGUCGGGAGUUCAAUCCUCCCAGUGUCCA